rnacentral:rRNA from 1 species
GAUGAACGCUAGCGGCAGGCUUAACACAUGCAAGUCGAGGGGCAGCAUGAUGAAACUUUCGGGUUUCAUUGAUGGCGACCGGCGCAAGGGUGCGUAACGCGUGAGCAACUUGCCCUUAUCAGGGGGAUAACCGGUGGAAACGCCGACUAAUACCCCAUAGUAUCACUUCAAGGCAUCUUUUAGUGAUUAAAGAAUUUCGGAUAAGGAUAGGCUCGCGUGACAUUAGCUAGAUGGCGGGGUAACGGCCCACCAUGGCGACGAUGUCUAGGGGUUCUGAGAGGAAGGUCCCCCACACUGGAACUGAGACACGGUCCAGACUCCUACGGGAGGCAGCAGUGAGGAAUAUUGGUCAAUGGCCGAGAGGCUGAACCAGCCAUGCCGCGUGAAGGUCACGGCCCUAUGGGUCUUAAACUUCUUUUGUAAGGGAGCAAUAAGGGUCACGUGUGGUCCGAUGAGAGUACCUUACGAAUAAGCAUCGGCUAACUCCGUGCCAGCAG